rnacentral:tRNA from 1 species
ACAUUGGUGGUUCAAUGGUAGCCUUCUUGCCUCCUAUGCAGGAGACCUGGGUUCAAUUCCCCGUCAAUAUA